AUACUUACAUGGCAGAGGAGAUACCAUGAUCACAUGGUUCUCUCAAGGCAGAGGUCAUCCAAAGCACUCAGGUCUUUCUGACACCUGCAAUUUCCUCAAGCAGGGGAACUCAGCUGCACAAUUUCUGUUCGUGGGGAAUUUCGCACUGUCCCCC
rnacentral:snRNA from 1 species